rnacentral:tRNA from 1 species
CGAGUAGUAGUUCAAGUGGUAGAGCACGUGUUUUGGGAGCACGGAGUUGUAGGUUCGAGUCCUACCUAUUCGACCA